AGGGUUUGAUCCUGGCUCAGAACGAACGCUGGCGGCAGGCCUUAUACAUGCAAGUCGAGCGCAUCCUUCGGGAUGAGCGGCGGACGGGUGAGUAACGCGUGGGAAUGUGCCCUUCUCUACGGAAUAGCCACUGGAAACGGUGAGUAAUACCGUAUACGCCCUCAGGGGGAAAGAUUUAUCGGAGAAGGAUCAGCCCGCGUUAGAUUAGUUUGUUGGUGGGGUAAUGGCCUACCAAGACUUUGAUCAAUAGCUGAUUUGAGAGGAUGAUCAGCCACAUUGGGACUGAGACACGGCCCAAACUCCUACGGGAGGCAGCAGUGGGGAAUCUUGCACAAUGGAGGAAACUCUGAUGCAGCGAUGCCGCGUGAGUGAAGAAGGCCUUUGGGUUGUAAAGCUCUUUCGUCGGGGAAGAAAAUGACUGUACCCGAAUAAGAAGGUCCGGCUAACUUCGUGCCAGCAGCCGCGGUAAUACGAAGGGACCUAGCGUAGUUCGGAAUUACUGGGCUUAAAGAGUUCGUAGGUGGUUGAAAAAGUUGGUGGUGAAAUCCCAGAGCUUAACUCUGGAACUGCCAUCAAAACUUUUCAGCUAGAGUUUGAUAGAGGAAAGCAGAAUUUCUAGUGUAGAGGUGAAAUUCGUAGAUAUUAGAAAGAAUACCAAUUGCGAAGGCAGCUUUCUGGAUCAUUACUGACACUGAGGAACGAAAGCAUGGGUAGCGAAGAGGAUUAGAUACCCUCGUAGUCCAUGCUGUAAACGAUGUGUGUUAGACGUUGGAAAUUUAUUUUCAGUGUCGCAGCGAAAGCGAUAAACACACCGCCUGGGGAGUACGACCGCAAGGUUAAAACUCAAAUGAAUUGACGGGGACCCGCACAAGUAGUGGAGCAUGUGGUUUAAUUCGAAGAUACGCGCAGAACCUUACCAACACUUGACAUGUUCGUCGCGACUUUAAGAGAUUAAAGUUUUCGGUUCGGCCGGACGAAACACAGGUGCUGCAUGGCUGUCGUCAGCUCGUGUCGUGAGAUGUUGGGUUAAGUCCCGCAACGAGCGCAACCCUCACUUUUAGUUGCCAUCAUUUAGUUGGGCACUCUGAAAGAACUGCCAGUGAUAAGCUGGAGGAAGGUGGGGAUGACGUCAAGUCCUCAUGGCCCUUACGUGUUGGGCUACACACGUGCUACAAUGGUAUCUACAACAGGAAGCGAAACAGCGAUGUUGAGCAAAUCCUUAAAAGAUACCUCAGUUCGGAUUGCACUCUGCAACUCGAGUGCAUGAAGCUGGAAUUACUAGUAAUCGUGGAUCAGCGUGCCACGGUGAAUGCGUUCCCGGGUCUUGUACACACCGCCCGUCACACCAUGGGAGUUGGUUCUACCUUAAGGC
rnacentral:rRNA from 1 species